GACGAACGCUGGCGGCGUGCUUAACACAUGCAAGUCGAACGGAAAGGCCCUGCUUUUGUGGGGUGCUCGAGUGGCGAACGGGUGAGUAACACGUGUGUAACCUGCCCUUGACUUUGGGAUAACUUCAGGAAACUGGGGCUAAUACCGGAUAGGAGCUCCUGCUGCAUGGUGGGGGUUGGAAAGUUUCGGCGGUUGGGGAUGGACUCGCGGCUUAUCAGCUUGUUGGUGGGGUAGUGGCUUACCAAGGCUUUGGCGGGUAGCCGGCCUGAGAGGGUGACCGGCCACAUUGGGACUGAGAUACGGCCCAGACUCCUACGGGAGGCAGCAGUGGGGAAUAUUGCACAAUGGGCGGAAGCCUGAUGCAGCAACGCCGCGUGCGGGAUGACGGCCUUCGGGUUGUAAACCGCUUUCGCCUGUGACGAAGCGUGAGUGACGGUAAUGGGUAAAGAAGCACCGGCUAACUACGUG
rnacentral:rRNA from 1 species